UACGUAGGGUGCAAGCGUUGUCCGGAAUUAUUGGGCGUAAAGAGCUCGUAGGCGGUCUGUCGCGUCGGCUGUGAAAACCCGGAGCUCAACUCCGGGCCUGCAGUCGAUACGGGCAGACUGGAGUUCGGCAGGGGAGACUGGAAUUCCUGGUGUAGCGGUGAAAUGCGCAGAUAUCAGGAGGAACACCGGUGGCGAAGGCGGGUCUCGUGGGCCGAUGACUGACGCUGAGGAGCGAAACGUGGGGAGCGAACGAGG
rnacentral:rRNA from 1 species